ACUCCCGGGAAGCAGAGGAGCUCGUGGAGAUUCCCGGGGCAGCCCCGGGCCUGAGCGCGGGAGGAGGAGGAGGAGGAGCGGGAUGGGUGCGGACUGGCGCUGCCUUGGAUGUAAUCAAUUAACAGAUGAAGACACCGGGGUGGACCCUGCCUGAGAAGGACGGGAAUUUCCUAGGAAUUUGCAGGAACAUGGGCUCUGAGAAAUGGAGCAGGGAGACACAUCAGCAUGACACAUCUACACUAAAGAAUACCUGGGGGCCGUCAGAGGCGGGAAGAAACAAGGAUGCAACACCCCCAGGGACUUCACAGGAAGCUUGACCCUUGCUGACCCCUUAGGUGGCCCAGCCUUUAGAACGCUGAAAUAAUCAAGUUCUUCUGAUUUUAGUCAGCCAAUGUGUGGUACCUUCUAGGGCAGUCUGGUGAGGUAAUAUUCUCCACGGCACUUCUCAAACUGAAGUCCGGACAAGUCUUGGACAUCUUUCUCCCCUGUCUGACAUACUAAGUGCUGCGUGAGAACUGUCAGAGCGAUCUGCUGGAGAGAGAAAAGUCAGUUUCUGUAUUGUCGCUUCUCUUGGUCUGCCGUCCCCUUCACUUGUUACAGAACAACUGUAAACCAUGUGAUGGAAGACCGACUUUGACUACGGGACUCUUGGUAUCACAUGCGUCCCGCCCAGAUGCCAAGUCAGCUCUUUCAUGACACACAGGAAGCCUGCUGGGUGGGAACCAGCAGCGUUACAGCGAGAUCAGCUUUGGUGAGGAGGAUGACUGGGGAAAACCCUAAGACAACUUAGGAAUUCCCGAAGUAGACACAUUUUAAGCCUUAUGAAAGUUUACUGUUGUAUGUCUUCAUAUCUACCGUCGAUAUUAAAGGAUUUUAAUGUAUAUUCGUUGAGAAAACUACCCUCCUGUUUUAAAUUUGUCAGUAAAUGUUAAGACAUACCUAUGGAGAAAUUGAAACAGUUGGGAAGACAGACGGUAGACUAGGUACGAACUCCUCUUGGCCUUUCCCGCCCCAUCGGUCUCCACCCACCACGGAGCGGAGGUCUAGCCUCUCAAACCUGCUGGGCUGCCUUUCCAUCCACCUUUCCAACAGCUGUAGUUUGGAGUUCCAUAAACAAAAGUGACAUCCUACGGAGCACUUUCCGUAACCGGCUCUUCACGCUGUGUACCUGGCGAACUUUCGUUUCAAUCUAUACAGUUUGUCUUUGUUUGUUUGAUUGUUUAAACUUUUACCCGGUCUCCAGGAAACAGGUGGCUCAUAAUUUGCCGAAAGUUCUAUUUAUGGGCAUUUAGCUUUCUAAUUUUUUACAAUUACCGAAAUAAAUUUGGUUUAGUAUUGUA